rnacentral:rRNA from 1 species
GAUGAACGCUGGCGGCGUGCUUAACACAUGCAAGUCGAACGAAGCACUUUAUUUGAUUUCCUUCGGGACUGAUUAUUUUGUGACUGAGUGGCGGACGGGUGAGUAACGCGUGGGUAACCUGCCUUGUACAGGGGGAUAACAGUUGGAAACGGCUGCUAAUACCGCAUAAGCGCACAGCAUCGCAUGAUGCAGUGUGAAAAACUCCGGUGGUAUAAGAUGGAUCCGCGUUGGAUUAGCUAGUUGGUGAGGUAACGGCCCACCAAGGCGACGAUCCAUAGCCGACCUGAGAGGGUGACCGGCCACAUUGGGACUGAGACACGGCCCAAACUCCUACGGGAGGCAGCAGUGGGGAAUAUUGCACAAUGGGCGAAAGCCUGAUGCAGCGACGCCGCGUGAGCGAAGAAGUAUUUCGGUAUGUAAAGCUCUAUCAGCAGGGAAGAUAAUGACGGUACCUGACUAAGAAGCACCGGCUAAAUACGUG